rnacentral:tRNA from 1 species
GGAUUGUGGCUCAGUGGUAGAGUGCUCGCCUAGCUAGUGUGAGGCCUGGGGUUCUAUCCUCGGCACCA